UACGAAGGGGGCUAGCGUUGUUCGGAAUUACUGGGCGUAAAGCGCACGUAGGCGGACAUUUAAGUCAGGGGUGAAGUCCCAGAGCUCAACUCUGGAACUGCCUUUGAUACUGGGUGUCUUGAGUAUGGAAGAGGUGAGUGGAAUUCCGAGUGUAGAGGUGAAAUUCGUAGAUAUUCGGAGGAACACCAGUGGCGAAGGCGGCUCACUGGUCCAUUACUGACGCUGAGGUGCGAAAGCGUGGGGAGCAAACAGGG
rnacentral:rRNA from 1 species